CCUGCAUGAAGUCGGAAUUGCUAGUAAUCGCGGAUCAGCAUGCCGCGGUGAAUACGUUCCCGGGCCUUGUACACACCGCCCGUCACACCAUGGGAGCCGGUAAUACCCGAAGUCAGUAGUCCAACCUCGUGAGGACGCUGCCGAAGGUAGGAUUGGCGACUGGGGUGAAGUCGUAACAAGGUACC
rnacentral:rRNA from 1 species